rnacentral:rRNA from 1 species
AUGGGAUCCGAUGUCACGUUCCUUGUAUGCCAGGAGUCAUUUCAUGCGCACAAGAACAUACUCGCCGCCAGGUCUCCUGUUUCCAAGGCCCAGUUCUUUGGAGAAAUGGAAGAGAAGAGCUCGCGGCAUGUCGAGAUCAUGGACAUGGAGCCGGAAGAACUCGGAGCCAUGCUCCACUUCAUCUACACCGACACGAUCCCUGAACUAGAAAAGCAGGAGGAGGCGUCGACGGUGAUGGCUCAGCAUCUGCUGGCAGCCGCUGACAGCUUUCUUUUAGACAGGCUCAAGCUGAUAUGCGAGGCCAAGCUCUCUGGUGGCAUCACAGUGGACACGGCAGCAACAACUCUGGCCUUGGCCCAGCAACACAAUUGUUCACGGCUCAAGGCCAAGUGCGUCAAGUUCAUUGUCAGCACUCCUGAAGUUCUUGACGCUGUCCUGGCAACGGAGGGGUAUAAGCACCUGGAGGCAAGCUGCCCUUUGGUGCUAACUGAGCUUCUCAAGUCUGCCCAUGGGAGGAAUGCAGAAGCGUAG